GCGGGUGAAGAUUUUCAAAUAUUCUCAAAGAUUCUGUAACACCCCGGAAGAUUCUGCGUCAGGUACGCGGCCAGAUGCGCGGCCACUUGCCCAGGUGUGUGGCCGCGGACGUAGGAACCCAAUAAAUAACCCCCAAGACUGGGUAGAGAGAGGGAUUAAGUCAUUUUUGAGGUAAAAACCUGAUAUUUUAGAGAGAUGUAAGAGCAUUUUAGAGAGAGAAGGAGUAAACCUAUCAUUCUAAUCAUCCAAUCUUGCACCAAUCUUCAAGAAUCAAGGAAACUAAUCACAAGAUCUUCAUCAAAGAGAUAAGGUUCCAUACCCUAAUUUUAAAUUUCGGGAUUUGGAUUAAAAGUAGGCCAUAAGAAGUAUAAUUCUUGGGUGUGAGAGUAUUAUGUGUACAUUUAUGGAUUUAUUAUGGAAAUAUGAGUAUGAAUUAAGCAAGUAUUGGAACUUAUGGUAUAGUGAUUGGAAGCCAUAAAUUCUCAAUUUAAAUACAUAACCAUUGUAGAGAUUGAAAGGUGAUUAUUUGAUAGAAUUUUAUUGGUUGGGUGAGAAUAGUUGGUCACACAUAUGAUGUUAGGAUUAUAAGUUGUUAAAGAAUAAUGGUGGGAUGAAUUGUUGGUAAAUGAUGGUAAAUGGAAGAACUAAUUCUAUGGUUAAGAAAUGUAUAAAUGUAUGCCCACUAGGUGAUUGGUAAAUUAACUAAAUGGCCUAAACUAUAAAAUUGGUUACUAAUGUUGGUCCCAUUGGAUGUUAAUAUUGUAGAUUGCACUUGUUUAGUAUAGUAGAUCGUUGUAGUAUCAUUAAGGGGUGAAUUUCAGUUUCGGAUCGUUGGCAUUGAAUUGAGGAGACAAGAAGGCAUUCGGAGGUGGAUACACGUGGAAUGGAAUUUCCUGAGUAUUGAUUAGCUGGCUCAACGUUGGGUUCGUCUUGUUGAGGUAAGUAACAGUUUUAAAUCUGGUCCUGAGGGUAUAAAAUCCCAGAUUAUUGUAUUAUGUGAGUAUUUAGGAGGUAACGCACAUGCUAGGUGAUGGGCGUGUGGGCAUGGGAAUUGGGACUUGGUCUAUUCCGUGAAACUGGAAAGUUGAAUAAGCUUGUCGUUAGCUAUGUGCCCUUUCUGUGCUAUAAAAAUUUGGCAGUGAAGCAUGCUUAGGCUAUGUGAUGGUGCUGUAAAGACCACAGAGGUCUUGUACAUGUUGAAUUAUCUACUAAAUUAUUAGUUUGUACUCAGUCAGAGUUUACUUGUUUAUUGUAUCUCAGUCUCUAUUAUUCAUUAUUGAUGCAUCAUAUUAUUGUUAUUUGGGCUGAGUAUCAUGACUAUUGAGAACCCGAGAGACUGGAGAGAUUUAUGACUGAGUGAGACCGAGGGACUAAUUGUGAGAUAUUAUAUUAUAGCACGUGAGUUGUCCGUGCAACACGUGAGUUGUCAGUGCGGAUCCUUAUAUUAUUCUAUAGCACGUUAGUUGUCCGUGCAAUACGUGAGUUGUCCAUGCGGAUCCUUAUUUUAUACUAUAGCACGUGAGUUGUCCGUGCGGAUCCAGAUAUUUACACUAUAGCACGUGAGUUGUCUGUGCAACACGUGAGUUGUCCGUGCAAAUUAUAGCGCUUGGGUUGUAGGAGCCCCUCCGGAGUCUGUACACCCCCAGUGAGCGCGGGUACCCAUUGAGUGUGAGUGCUGAGGGCUGAGAGCCGAGUGGUUGAGCUAUUGUGACGAGUUGAGUAACUGUUGCCCUGAGAGGCUGUACUUUCUUUUCAUUUGUUGUUGUACUUAGUUGCUAUCUGUCAUUGUUGUGAAAUUCUCUAAAAGAUUUUAUAUCCGAAUUACGUGAGCUUGAGCUGUAUAAAACUGAUUUGACUUAAACUGCUAGAAUUGAAAGUAUGUCUACACUCUGCUGGAAUUACUGAAAAUGAAUUGUAACUGUGUAGCUCGUCACUAUCUUCAGUUCCUUAUUUAUUAUUGUUACUUACUGAGUUGGUUGUACUCAUACUACACCAUGCACAUCGUGUGCAGAUCUAGGUAUUCCCAGACAUAGCGGGUGUUGAUUCUU
rnacentral:lncRNA from 1 species